CUACGGGGCGCUGCAGUGGGGAAUAUUGGACAAUGGGCGAAAGCCUGAUCCAGCAAUGCCGCGUGUGUGAAGAAGGCCUGCGGGUUGUAAAGCACUUUCAGUCGGGAAGAUGAUGACGGUACCGACAGAAGAAGCACCGGCUAACUCCGUGCCAGCAGCCGCGGUAAUACGGGGGGUGCAAGCGUUAAUCGGAAUUACUGGGCGUAAAGCGCGCGUAGGCGGCUUGUUAAGUCGGAUGUGAAAGCCCCGGGCUUAACCUGGGAACUGCAUCCGAUACUGGCAGACUAGAGUCUGGUAGAGGGAGGCGGAAUUCCCGGUGUAGCGGUGAAAUGCGUAGAUAUCGGGAAGAACACCAGUGGCGAAGGCGGCCUCCUGGACUAAGACUGACGCUGAGGUGCGAAAGCGUGGAGAGCAAACAGGAUUAGAUACCCGCGUAGUC
rnacentral:rRNA from 1 species